CAACUGGCCCUUCCGCAGACGCGGGCUAGCGGGCUGGAGAGAAGGUCCACCCAGGGCAUGGAGUAGGUGGCCACUCGCUGUUGGCGUCCAGCUCAUGCCGAAUUUUGAAAAUCCAGGGUACAGAAGGACUGAUGGUAAAAAAACAGAGAGUAGGGACUGUUAUGUCAGCGCUUGUCACCAUUUAAAACGUCAGCAGUGUUACACAAAGACAGUGGAGGUGUGUCUGCAAGAGCCGCAGCUCAGAAACCAUGGGCAUCAUGGCCACAUUUAGUGGCUGUCAGCUGGUGACAAACUUGCCAUCCGUCACAUGAUUCAUAUAGAGCCACAUAUCCUUGCUGUGUCUGAAGAAACUGGUCGCCAUAGUACCAUCCAGGUCCAGAGGAAUCCUUAUGGCUCAAGGGGCAAUCAGUCCCCAUGAGAUGACGUUCCUUACUCGGCAGGGACACUGCCUUUAUUUUCAUCAUGGGAAGAUCACAAGAAGGCG
rnacentral:lncRNA from 1 species